GAGAAGCAUUAGACUUGUUGAAAAUGAUAUCAUUAAUUGAUUAUGAAUUGAGUUAUGAUUCAAGAGUUAGAACCACACAACACGUUCAUAAUUCAUAAUUAUUUUAUAUACAUUUUUUUGAAAAAAUAUUUUUUACUAAAAUAGUGACCAUAAACUAUAAAUUUUAUUAAAAAAUAUUAUAUAUGAAAAUUGUUAAGUAAGAUGGAAUUUAGUUGAGUUAGAAAAUAAGUCCCAAAUUUAUCACCUUUUAGAAGUCUUGCAACUUAUGGAAAAUAAUAUCAUUUGCUUAUAAAUAUUAGGAUUUUUCUUGUCUAGACUCGAUUUACUGUAGACCUAAAAUACAAGAUAUAUGAUGAAACUCACUUAUUAAAUACAUGGGUCCCACAUGAUUGUGUCUUAGAUCCAUGAUUGAUAGAGUCUAGGUAAGAAUUUCUCUGAACAUAGAUGAGAGAAGUAAUAGAUUUAUAGUAGAAAUUGAUAGCAUUAAUUGAUUAUGAAUUGACUUAUGACUUAUUAGAUUUAGAACCAAACAACACGGUUGAUAAUUCACAAUUAUUUUAUGUACAAUUUUUAAAAAAAAUAAUUUUU
rnacentral:misc_RNA from 1 species